AAUAAAAUCGAUUAUCAAAAUCCCAGUUUCAAAAACAUUAAAAGAUCUUCGUUCCUUUUUGGGCAUGACAGGUUAUUAUAGGCGGUUCAUACAAGAAAGGAGAAGGAGAAGAAGGCCGUAUAUCUAAGACCAAGGAGGUUACCCUUGCCUAUCCAGAUUUCGGAUAAGAAUUCCAAUUGACUACUGACGCUUCAAGUUACGCAAUAGGCGUUGUAUUGGAACAAAAUAAUAGGCCAAUAACGUUUAAUAACUGAAGAGAACUACGCAACUAACGAAAGAAAAAUGCUCGCUAUCGUUUGGGCGCUCCAAAGUUUAAGACAUUAUAUUUACGGGUAUUCAAAAGUGAUAUUAUACACGGAUCACCAACCCUUGAGUUUUUCGAAUAGCGUAAAAAACCAUAACGCUAAGCUUAAAUGCUGGAGAGACCUCAUUGGCGAGUAUAACCACGAGAUCAUGUACAAGCCCGGAUUAGCUAAUGUGGUAGCGGACGCGUUGUCCCGGGCCCCCGCAGAAAUUAAUUCAAUCAGCUCCUCAGCAUCAGCCCUUAGCGACGAAAGCGCGUCACACAACCUCAUAUUUUCGGUUAUUUUUACCAACAUGCUUGGGGAUAACUACAGUGCACGACUAUUCCAAUUCACAAAUCAUCUCAUUCGAAACCAGACUAGCGGCUUAAUAAGACGGAACAUCUAAAAUCAUCCACAUCUUUAACCUACAAAGCUAUGAAGAAACUCUGGCGAAGUUAGAAGAAUCAUUUCAUUCACUCACCUCAUCUCAUCCAUUACACCCAUAUCUUUCUUAUGAACUAAAACAGAUCCGAACUGAUUUACGCAUACCCCAAACUCAAAAAGAUAAAAAAAGGCAAUAGAAGCAAUAUGUACUGCAUGGAAAUGGCUGCCGGGAUCACCACGACCAUCAGAUCCUAGAAGA